rnacentral:rRNA from 1 species
CCCUUACACAUGCAGUCGCACGAGAAAGCAGGAGCAUCUUGUGAGUAAGUGGCGUACGGGUGAGUAACACGUGGAUCAUCUACCUUCUAGUGGGGAAUACCUCUGGGAAACCGGAGAUAAUUCCGCAUAAGCUCGUGAGAGGAAAAAAAGGCCCGAAAGGGGCUGGAAGAGGAGUCCGGGCUGAUUAGCUAGAUGGCGGGGUAACGGCCACCAUGGCGAAGAUCGGUAGCCGGCUGAGAGGGCACACGGGCACACUGGCACUUGAAACACGGGCCAAGAAUCCUUACGGGAGGCAGCCAGUGGGGAAUCUUGCACAAUGGAGGCAAUCUGAUGCAGCGACGCCGCGUGAGCGAUGAAGCCCUUCGGGGUGUAAAGCUCUUUCGACGGGAAAGAUGAUGACGGUACCCGGGAGAAGAAGCUGCGGCUAACUACGUGCCAGCAGCCGCGGUAAUACGUAGGCAGCGAGCGUUGUUCGGAAUUAC